rnacentral:lncRNA from 1 species
ACAAGAGCAGAGAUUUGGGAGGCACUUGCCUCCAGGCAGUUAGCAGGAGGCCUCUAUUAAUUAGUGCCUGGAACAAAUCUACUAGCAACGUUCACAUAUUAGAAGCUUCCUCUGAAAGCCCCCAGCCCCCAGCUCACCUGAUGGAGUUUCCUCUUUGGAAACCUCUGUGCCACAAAUUAGUUUUUUAAAGACACAAGUAGUUUUAUUCAGCAUUCUUUGCAUAAUUAGACUUUUUCCUUUCAGAGAUGCUGCCCCACUGUCUUCUCGGUCAAGAGGCUAGAAGAAUUUUGAGCCAGCAAUGAGUCAGGGAAACUUCACUGAGCUUUGUUGUUAUGUGCCAUCAAGUCAUUUCCAUUUUAUGGUGACCCUAACUGAGCGUUCAGUAGGAGCCUUUUGGCCACUUCUCCUUUCAGCAACAUGUUUUGAAACAGGGUCUGCUGUGGACAAAAGGACUUAUCUGUCCAGAAGGCACUUCUCAUGCUCCCUGUCACAUGCCAUUAUGCUGACUCUGGAGAGUAUGAAGCUGUGUAGAUGUGUCCUGACUCCUAAAAUGACUUCCAUGAAGGUAAGGAGAUUCAUCUGUAGGUCUGAAUACCUGUGAUGGCUCUAGAUAAGGUGUGAAAAGACUAAUUGUAUUAAACCACACUGAGCAUUGAAAGUAGACUUUUGUGAAGGGUCCAGAGAUAUUUCCUGCCUGGAGCUGAAGUUUCUGUGUGGUCUGUAGGAAAUCUACAUAUGACCAACUGCAGAGGAUGUGUUUCUAGGCUGUUGCUUCCUUUCUGCUCCAGAUGUUUUCUGGCCUGAAGGAAAUGCAUUGUUCUUUCCCCAGCUGCCCUAUUCUCACCUCCAAGUCUGCCCUUGAAUUCCAAGGCUCAGUUAGAGGCCACAAAUGAACAGUUGGCCUGCUUCUUCCCCUUCUCCCCCACAUGAGUGGGUUGUGGAAGUGUGCAGCAGGAAACUUAGGAUUUUUCUCUGAAGAGCUCACUUCUCUUUGUUUCUUUCUUCUGUUGUACCCUACAGUCAGAUUGGAGGAGACGUAAGGCACUGCUUCAGCACAGAAUCCAACAGGCUGAACUUCUUCC